rnacentral:rRNA from 1 species
UUUCCUACGGGAGGCAGCAGUGGGGGAUAUUGGACAAUGGGGGGAACCCUGAUCCAGCGACGCCGCGUGAGUGAAGAAGUAUUUCGGUAUGUAAAGCUCUGUCAGCAGGGAAGAAAGCAAUGACGGUACCUGACCAAGAAGCCCCGGCUAACUACGUGCCAGCAGCCGCGGUAAUACGUAGGGGGCAAGCGUUAUCCGGAUUUACUGGGUGUAAAGGGGGCGCAGACGGCAAUGCAAGCCAGGAGUGAAAGCCCGGGGCCCAACCCCGGGACUGCUCUUGGAACUGCAUGGCUGGAGUACAGGAG